GUCUGGCGCGCGCGCUCUCCUUUCCCCCCUCCCCCUUUCCUCUCAUAGAGGAGACGCGCACGACUCUCCCUCUUCCCCCCUCCCCCCCAAGGGGGAAGGGCGCCGUGCUGCGUCAUCACUUUCCGGGGGGACGAGGAGGAGGGAGCUCUCUGACGGAACCAACGUCCGUCCCCGCCUACCAACGCUGUGCGCAUGCGCGGCGGAGAAUCUCCCAUCAUUUUUGCACCCGCCCCUCUCGGUGUGUCAUGUGAUGUGGACAUCUUGAUAAUGACCGCCCUUCGUCAUGAAACUUCAAAAGCAAGAUUUUCACUUUAUCAAGUACCAUUUACAUCGCUUUUUGAAAAAAACAAUAAUUUUGAUGAGAAAAAGAAAUUAAGUCACGUUGCUGUUGCAGUCCUUAUAUUUGGCUUGUGUGCUUGUCCCUUGAGAAGAUGGUGGUGAGUUGCCAUUUUGAACCGGGAAGGUUCAUCUGGUGAAGUUACUUCCAAGAUAUUGCUGAGUAUGAAAUUCCAAGGUCUAUACCCAGUGAUAAUAAAGGAACAACAAUACAUUUUAGAGUCUGGGUGACGAAUGACUUGGAAAACAUUGACCAAUCAUUUAUGCCUGACAAAACCCGUCAAACCAAUAUGGGCACAGAUGAUCAGCUCAGUGGUGAUACUGAGGGCGUAUUUUGGAAACAAAGGGUCUCCCUUGCUUUUCUUCACAUCACCAUGAGAUAUUUUGAAGCAUGAGGGACGCCACGGUUUUAAAUGUUUUCUGCAUAUUUGCAACUCGAUAAUGCAGGCUCUCAAGAAUCUUAGCCUAAGCUAUUUUUGCGUGUCACUAGUCGACAGUAGACCACUUUAAACCUCUGAGUACAGACUUUGUGCACAAUUAUGAGACUGCACUGCUGUUGCAUUGUCAUUUUCUUUGGUCUUAAGCCAGAGGAGGAACAAUCUAGUUAAUUUUUCUUUAAAACAAGCCAGAUUAUUUUGUAUUAUAUUUUUACUAGCAAAGGUGACAACGCGUGUUUUUAAAAGGAAAGAUCUGCCAAUUGUCCAGCCGAAUAUCGAGGAGUUGGCGGCCUUUGCUGGAGUCCGACUUCGAGAGCUCCACCGCGGGAGCCUGCGGACUUAACAUCACAGAGCUCCUGAUCCCUUUGCCAGGGAUCGACCUCUGAGCUCUACCACAGGUGCCUGCGGACUUUUAACAUCGUAGAGCUGGUUAGAGACCGACUUCGGGAGCUCCAAGCCGCAGGAGUUUCGACUGCCCGAUGUGAGAGCUUUGAUCACCCCGACGCGGGGGCUUCGACCGUCCCGACGCGGGGGCUUUGACCGUCCCGACACGGGGGCUUUGACCGCCGGCUGCGGGAGCUUCAAUCGCACCGACCGUAGGAGAAUAAAAGAGGAAGAUUGGACUUUACUGGAACUCUCUGCCACAGAAGGUAGUUGAGGCCAGUUCAUUGGCUAUAUUUAAGAGGUAGUUAGAUGUGGCUAAAGGGAUCAGGGGGUAUGGAGAGAAGGCAGGUACGGGAUACUGAGUUGGAUGAUCAGCCAUGAUCAUAUUGAAUGGCGGUGCAGGCUCGAAGGGCCGAAUGGCCUACUCCUGCACCUAUGUUUCUAUGUUUCUAUUGCCUUCCAUUACAGUGAGGAACGUAGGGAAUCCGCUGUGGUGGAUGUUUAUGUUAAAAUGUUUGUAGUUGUGUGUCUUGUUGCUUUUUUUUAGUAUGUCUGUAUGGUAAUUCGAAUUUCACUGUACCUUAAUUGGUAUAUGUGACAAUAAACUGACCUUGAAACCUUGAAGAAAGGAGUGCAUUUUCCUGUGAGUCAGGAGCUAUUAGUCUCUUAAAAAUUGAAUGAAAAUGUUUUUUUUAAGCAAGUAUGUUCUGUGUACUUUCUGAAAUUAUCUAGGUGAAUUAAUUCCUGGAGUAGUUGUGUUAAGCUGCAGCUCCUCUAGAGCAGCAUGGAUCAGCUGGAGUGGCAAGUGUAUGCACUGAGGAGCAUACAGGAGUCAGGGAGGGUUAUAGGCAGUAGUUUUAAAGAGGUGGUCACGCCAAAGGUUCAGCCAGUUAGAUGGGUAACCACCAGUAGAGGCAGGCAGGUAAUGCACGAGUCUCCUGUGGCUAUCUCCAUUUAAACUAAGUCUACCAUUUGAUUGAUGCUAAACAUAAAGCGCUGGAGUAACUCGGUGGGUCAGGCAGCAUCUCUGGAGAAAAAGGAUAGGCGAUGUUUCAGGUCAGGAAUCUUCUUCCUGAAAUAUCACCCAUCCUUUUUCUCCAGAGUUGCUGCCUCACCCUCUGAGUUACUCCAGCGCUUUUGUCUAUCUUUAGUAUAAACCAGCGUUUGCAGUUCCUUGUUUCUAUAAUUUGAUUGGUUUAUUAUUGUAUUGAGACAUUUGAUUGGUUUAUUAUUGUAUUGAGAUACAGUGAAAAUAACUUUGUGUUGAGUGCUAUCCAGGCAGAUCAUACCAUAUAUGAGUACAUCAGCUAGUGCAAAAGGGAAAAUAGACAGUGCAGAAUGUAGUGUGACUGCUGCAGAGAACUAUUAAUAGUGGCAACUCAAGUAGAGAGAGUGGUAAAAAAAAGUCAUAUGGUGUGCUUGCCUGCAUUGGCCAUUGAGUAUAAUAGAACAUCAUGUUGCAGCUUUGUAAAACUUUAGUUAGGCCACAUUUGAAUUGUGUGCUGAUGAUUAUUGUUCCGAUUGUCAUUACAAGAACUGAGAGGCUUUGUAGUAGGGGCAAAAGUUAUUUACCAGGAUGCUGCAUUGAUUAGAGGGCAUCAGCAAUAAGGAGAGGUUGGACAAAAUUGGAUCUGGAGUAUUGGAGGCUGCGGGGGAGACCUGAGAGAAGCUAUGAGAGGCAUAGAUAGGGUAGACCGUCAGAACCAUUUUCCUAAGGUGGUAACGUCAAAUACUGGCAGACAUAACUUUAAGGUGAGAGGGUUUAAAGGAGUUAUGCAGAGUAUGUUUUUUUUAUACAGGAAGGGUAGGUGCCUGGAUUGCACUGGCUGGGGUGGUGAUGGAAGUAGCUACAAAUAGGGUUUAAGAGGCUUUUAGAUAGGCAUCUGGAUAUGCAAGGAAUGGAGGGAUAUGGAUCACAUGCAGGCAGCAGCGAUUAGUUUAAUUUGGCAUCAGGUUCAGCAUAGGCAUCGUGUGUUGUACUGUUGUGUGCUUUAUGGUCUCUUUCCUAAGUAACAUUGUAUUGGCACAGCAUACAUCUCAUGCCCAUCAUAAACAGGUGAGCAAUCCUGAUUUGAAUCCUGAUCCAGGGUCUCAACCUGAAAUGUCACAUUGACCAUCCUGUUGCCUCCACAGAUGCUGCAUUACUUGGCGAGUUCUUCAACCGGUUUUAUUUUUUGCUAGAGUUAAAUUAAUAUUGCUACGUCUGCCUAGAAAGUUUUGCAAACAGCAGCAAUCUCCACUUUUUUGGAAACAAUCUUCACUUUUUUGGAAGCAAUCUUUGCCUCUGGCCUUUUUUUUAGGAAAUCACAGUAAGCCUUGACAAGAUCAUGAAUGUUUUGGAUAAAAUAAAUGAAGGAAAGAUUUUCCAAUGAACAUAAUAUCCAAAUGACAGACGGCGCAGAUUUAAGAUUCAGAGCAAAAGAUUCAGGGGUGGAAAGAAAAUCAUUUUCACGCAGAAAGCAAUUAAAAUCUGUGACUCGUAGCUUACAAGGGCGAGGUGGAAAGUUGGGGAGAGUGUGUCGGGGCUUUUGAACAGGAAUUUGUUCAUCACAAUGGAAAACGAAAGAGAAGAGAAAAGGGACCGAUGGGAUUCCAACACGAGAAGUGAUUUCAGACUGAUGAGAAAGCACACCCAUGCCUCUACUUCCUCAGGAAACUAAGAACAUUUUGGCAUGUCUCCAAUGACACAAACUUCUACAGGUGUACCAUAGAAAGCAUACAGUCGGAUCGCAUCACAGCUUAGUUUGGGAACAGCUCUGACCAAGUCUCCAAUAAAUUUCAGAGUUGUGGAUGUAUCCCAGUCUAUCACACACACCAGACUCAUCACCAUUGACUCCGCCUAUACACUUCAUGCUUCCUUGGAAAAGCAGCCAACAUAAUCAAAGACUUAUAACACGCCGGUCAUUCAUACUUCUUCACACUCCCAUUGAGCAGAAGAACAGAAGCUUGAAAACAUGCACCAACACUCAGGAACAGGUUCUUCCCCUGCUAUCAGGCUUCUGAGCAGUCCUUCCAAAAGCAUGGACCAAUUCCCCUCAACCCCAUUGGAGUGUGUCUGGAACUGGUGCACUUUUACUCUGUAUCUUUCCUUUUGCUCUACCUAUUGUACUUGAAUUUGGCUUAAUUGUAUUUAUAUAUAUAGUACUAACUGGUUAGAUAACUUGCAAAACAAAGCAUUUCACUGUAUAAAAGACAAUAAUAAACCUAAAGCUACGGACUGCAUGUGUCAUAACAACUCAAUGUGUCCAACAGCCAAAUUAAAUAAAAUUAUGUGUCAAAAAAAAUGUACAACACUUAAGUGGGAUUUUCAUGAAGUAUUCAGUAUGAUGUAGGGGGCGCUGCUCUGGCAGCAGCCAUGUCAGCAGCGCGUUAGUUUUUUUCAACUUUUUUUAUUUUUUUUGUAUGUUUUAAAGUGUGUUUUUGAUGUUUCUCGGUGUGUCUUGUGUGGGGGGGUAAGGGGGAAACCGCUUCGGUCGCGUCCUCCAUGGAGAGGCGACUUUUUCCAGGUCGCCUCCCCCGUGGCCUAACAUCAAGGAUCGGCGUGGCCUUUCCCGGAGACGCGCUCGGGGCUUCAGCGGCAGGCGCAGCGUGGACUCUCGUCAUGGAGCGGGUGAGCCCUCGCUGGGGCUCGCUGGAGGGGAGUGCUCCGUUUCGCUGGCCCGGGGCAGCCGGCAGCCUGAAGCCGCGGUCUGCAGAGUUCCAGCUGGUGCGGCGUCUACAGCCCGGGAUCCCUCGUGGGGGACCCGGGGGGGGGAAGAAGCCACCACUGCCGGCCCGCAGCCAAACGUGAACUUAACAUCACCCCUGGAGGGGAGCUUCGACCGCCGGCCCUGCAGUCUACGGUGCUUCUGGCUGCGGCGGAGACUUUAAAUCUCGACCGCCAGCCUGCGGCCUACACCAACUUAAAGCCGCGGUCACCAGUGAGGAAGAGCCGAUCCUGGACUGACUCUGGACUCUGGUCCUGUCCACGGGGGGGAAAUGGAGGAGGACUGGCCAAAUUUUGUGCCUUCCACCACAGUGUUGAAUGCUGUGGUGGAUGUCUGUGUUACAUUUUUAUUGUGGUUCUUUAUUAUUGUAUCGCUGCUGCCAACCCAAAUUCCACCGACCCUGGUUGUGUGGGAAAUAAAUUCUAUCAAUGAGCGACUAAAUUACAACAAGAAA